ACAGACAGACAAAUUUGUCGUCUGUGAAACAAACUUACUCUCGCAUUAGUAUGGACAAUGCAUAUAUUUCAUUGUUAAAUUAAUAUUAAUUAGUCUAAAUUUUCAAAUUAUUAGUAGUCAUUUACUCUCAGAGACUAGGGUAAUAGGUAAAAACUGGUCAGUUCUUAUAUUAAAUUUUUCUUUGCUCGCUACGCCCGCCUCGCCUCACGCCUGUCAAAAAGCGUCUGUCAACGAAUUUUGUUCGAAAUUUUAUUUUUAGCAGUUUAUUAUUAUAUGUUUGAAUCGAAAUCUAUUUUCGAUGGAUGUAAAUCUGAUGCCUAUUUUACAAAUAGUCAAGAGUAUCUAUGGCAAAAAUACAUAAUUUCAACAAAUGACAAAGAUGACAAAGCCAGAUUUCGGUAUUUCCUGCACAUGGAGCUGCAUAUCCUAUUUAGAAUCCUGGUCACGAUGAUGGAUGGAAGACAUUGAUGAAAUAAUAUUAUAUUGGGUAUUAUUACAUAUUGUAUUGCUUGAAUUGACAAGUUAAGUAGAUGGUGAUAAUAAGAAUAUAAUUUUCUUGAGUAUGUUGUGGGUUUCUUCUGAAAUCCAGCAAGUUCAUAGAAUUUACAUUUAUUAUAAAAUAUUAUUUAGUUCACCUCUAUAACAAAAAACAGAAAUAUUCUGUGCAUUUCGCAGAAGCCUGCUUUCAUUGUCACGCUAGAAGAAGAUUGAAAAUUUUGUAUUAUAACUAUUGAUAUUUUAACUUGCUUUUAUUUAUUAUAGAUACCUAUCAAUAUAAUUUUAUUGUAAUAUAACUGAAAUAUAAUUAAUUAUAAA